rnacentral:sRNA from 1 species
UCCUCAAUCAGGUUCCAGAGACCGGUGG